UGGGCAUUGACAUCCGGGAGAAGGGCUUCAACAGCUACGCCCAGCGCUCGGAGUAAAUGCGCGCGUGCUUUUGCUUAGAGGACAUGCGCUCAGUGGAGGUGAUGGGCAUGGUGAGCCUUACCGCGACGCAGGCCCAGCGCUCGGAGUAGGCGCACGGUUCAAGGUGGCGGUGGACGUGUGAUGGGCGUGACGGUUGUCUGGAGCAAGCGGCAACGGACACGUGGGUGCAAUGCGGUUUGUUCAGGUCAGGCGGUGUGUGCCUGUUUGGUCGAGACCGGGACGGGUGGCGGGAGGUGAUGCUGCGAGGGGCUGAGGUCGGCGGCCGCCGGCUGCAACGGUCGGUGGUUGCGGGUAGAUGCCAGCGAUGGGGCGGCUCAAAUCGGAGGGCCGUGUGCAUGACCGUGUGCGCGUGCGCCGGUGAUGGGUUGCGGCUUUCGACGGAGGAAGGGGUGAGGGGCGGUGCGCGACCCCGGGAAUGUACUUGUAGCUUUAUGGCACUAAGAAGGCGCGCGCGCAUGUGUGUGGACAUGUUUGUGGGGUGCACUCCCACCGCGGCGGCGCCUUUGUUGACGGUGAUGGCAGUGCAACUGGACGGGUCACGUGGGCAAGGAGCAGGGUGCGUUUCCUUAAACUCCUGCCUCGGUUGAGGAGGAGAAGAGCGAUGG
rnacentral:lncRNA from 1 species